GGUGUGCUUGGAGCGCGCCCACUGCGCUUUCAGGCCCCUUCCUCUUCCUCGGGCUUUUCUCCUAUCCUUCCCUUCCCCGUCCCCGUGCUGUGGAGACCUUUGUCCCGAGGCAGAACUCUCCAUACGCGGGACUGCCUUUUUCUUCCAGCUGGUGCUGCAGGCGGCUGCAGUCAGUCGGACUCUCAACAGGCAGCGGCAGAGCUGAGGCUGUUCGAGGAGGGCAGCGGUUGGGAGUUCCCAGGGCUGCAGGAGAGCCUUCGAUUCCAAAGGAAAUGCAGCGGGACAGUUCUGACUGCUUCUGCCACAGGCUGGAGGUCUGAGGAAUGCACGUGACUGAAAUGCUUAAUGAGAUUAUGCCUGAAGAGCUGUCAAAAACACUCAGGAAAAUGGAGGACCCAAACUGAACUCUCUGCUGUCUUCUGGGCAACUUGAAAACUGACCCAGCGAAGGGACCAGGGACAGCUUCAUCUUCCACAUCUGCUGCCACAUAACCAAUCAAGUUUGGAAGGAGGAGGGAGCUGCUAUCCAGAGAACAUGCUGGACUCAUAGAAACCUGUUUUAGUGUUAACAGUCUACACCAGAGCAGGAAAUUAGGCCACAAAGGAAACAAAAAUUAGAGGCAGAAAAAUACGUAAGGUAUUUGAGCACGUCAUGACCAUUCUGUUAUGGGGCCAAGAUUGGUCUUUCACUAUGCUACAAUCCACCAAUGAUUAGUUUAGCCCUUUGAAAUGCCUGUGAGGGAAACAGGUCAUAGGGCUGCAAGAAUGGCUUGCAUUUUGACAUAUACUCUUCAGUGAUAAUUUGUUCCUCUCUUUGACAGGUUGUCUACUGCUAAAAGCAGUUUAGGAACAGUGUAACAGUACUGAACAAUACUUAUUCCACUCAGUAAAAAGUAUGAAUAUGCUUGUGCUCACAUAGGUGGUCACAACUACAUUUUGAUGUUGUACAGCAAUAUUGGAAUCUCUGUACCCCAACUUCUUUUGAUGCAUAAUUCCGGUCAGUGAAUGUCCUUGAUUUAGGAAGAAUGUUCUAUUUUGGGUCUUACUGGAACAUCAGUUUUCUAGUCAUCUAAGCAAAAAAACAUCUAACCAUUAUCUAAACAAGAAAAAAAAUGGACUGCAACUUUAAAAGUAGUUUUCUUUCUUGUAAUCUAAGCUAGAUGGACAGAAAUUGACAUGUAUUCUACCGAUAAAAAUCACAGAAUCAUAGAUAGUAUCAGCUUUGUACAUUUCCAGCAGGCAAGUAAGGGUUUAUGAUCCAUAACUGUACUUUUCUGCUUCCCAGCACAUUAUUCUUUUAUGCCAGAGGCAUCAAGUAAAGGAGAUGGAAUCUAGGGUGAAUGUUAAACACAUUGUAAAUACAACAUUUGUAGUAGCUCUAUUUAACAAAGAUAACAGCUGUUGGUGUCAUGGUACCUGCUUUUAAUCCAGGGACAGAUCAUGAAGUUACUAGCUAGUGAAGCACCACUUUAGGUCUCCCUAUUUUUCCACCUGGCUUAACUCUAUUGUAGAUUUUCUCUUGGGCUAAAUCAUGUAAUCGCUCCUCACCUGGUUCCCAUAUCAGUAAAGCAGAAUUAAUAUUAAUUCUUUUUCCUUAUCUGUGUAGGUCUUGAGAUUAAUCUUCAAGACAUGGCUAACUCUUACUGCUUAUAUGCAGUGUUUUCUACAGUGUCAUCGUGUUUUGAACUGGACUCUUUCGGAGCACUAAUUAGUUGUAUUACAAUCAUGCCUGGCUGGUUCCAUGCUCUGAAAAACAUGUCAACAGUUUAAUUUGUUAGUUUCUGCAUUAUUCUGAGCUCUGUGGGGUAAACUUCGGAACAAUUAGGGGAGUAGCUGCCAUGGCAAAGUAAUUCUAGUUCUUAUAUUUAGACUUGCACAAAAUAUGAUGGGAAUCAGAGAGGCUUGAGUCUGCUGUAUGAACACUGCAAUAGUGGUCACACAUGUAUUUUACUACUACAUUUCACCCCACAGUUUAAUGUGUUCCCAGAAAUAUUGCAUUAAUACUUGACUAGGAAUCGGUUGUAGAUCAAUCUGUUAUUUAUGUAAUUCUGAGCUUCACUGAAUUGACUUUUAGGUAAAUUCAGGAUUUAGGAUCUCAUGUAACUAGCAUAUUGUCCUACUUCUCUGAUCAGUGAUUCUUCUGAAAGGCUGAAGAAUGUGUUUUCUGAUAAGUCUUCUACCUCUUAAAAGUGAUUAGGCUUGGGGUCCCAGAUUCCCAGGGAAAUCUGAACACUUGACAUAGGUUAUGUGAAUGGUUGUAGUGCCUUCAUUCUUUAUGACUUUACAAAGAGCUGCAGAAAGCCUGCACCUAAUGCUAUGUAUGACUAGGAGAUAUUUCUCGACCAAGAGGAGCUUUGAAAACCUCCAAGUUAGUGAGUCACUGAAGUAACAAUUUAACAACUGAAGAGAAAGCCCUUCUGUGAAUAAUGAGAGUCCUGCCCAUGUUCUGUCCCUAUUUCUCAAUGCUGCACUAAUUGCUCCAUUUUGUUCAAAACCACUGCAAGAGCAUCCUUCCCUUACACUGUCAUGCAAUUUUUUUCUCAGUUGCUUUCUGAAAGUCAAAAGAAUAUAGCCUUCUAGAAAAAUAUAUCAGCUGUGCAUCUUUGUUUCUCUUUCUCCUUUUCUUCGUUUGUGUGAUUCUUGUUCUUUCUUUCACAAAUAUAUUUCUUUCACACAUAGUCUUAACCUGCAUAUUGUUUUUCUCUUGCUAUAUCUUUCCUGGCCUUCUUUCAUUUUCUGAAAGACACAUAUUUUCUUUCCCAUAUUCUUUACUUUCAAUCUUUCUUAAUCUUUCCAUUCCUGUCUCAGUUGCUGUCUGUGGUACAAUACAAGACCUAGUAAGACAGGUGAGAGUUGAAGUUGGAGAAAAGGAAUGAUGUGGUAGCUGUAGUGACAGAACUCUGGAUGAAAUUGAACAGUAGGUCUAAGCGUCUGUAUUCCACCACCACCUGUUCACAUACCUUUCUCCCUUGAGAAAGAAGUUCUCAGGCCCACUUCAGUGUUGCAAUUCAUUCUUCUUUGUUCAGCUGCCUAUUCUAAUAGAAAUGAGUAGUGCAGUGCUUGUUAUGUUGCAGUCAGAUUUCAGUACAGAGUCUUAGGAGCCUAAAGGGAGAUAUAGACAGUGUUAAGGCAACUACACCUAAAAAAUUUGUUCCUGGAAAAAACCCACUCAGUGGCUGUCAUACACUGGAGGCAAAUUUCUGUCAUUGCUUUCAGACACCACAUCAAAUGCAGCAUGUGUUAUUUUAGAAGAGCUUCCUUAUGAAGUCCUUUUACCACUGGAGAUAACUGGAAUGGUGGAGGCCCUAACAAUUUACUGACAGCAAAUUCCACAUUAGGUAGUGGGGCACAUCCCCCUGCAAAGAAGAAGAUGCAUUGGGCCACAAAUCAAGCAUGAGGCAACCCUACCUUACCUGGCAAGGGUACAGAAAGCGGGUGAUCUUGGCUUCUCUUCUUUACUCCAUUUUUGGCCACAUAAAUGAUUGAACUUAUUAUGUUAGAUGGAGAAUUAUUUUAUAAGCAGGACUAAAACAGGGAAUUAUGAGACCUAAAAAAGAGCUGAAGAUCUUAUGAAGAUGAUAGCAGUAUGGUGAGUGGGUUUGUCCUUCAGCAGCAAGUUCUGGAUUCAUUAAGACUAUGCUGAGGAAUGCAGAAAAAAAGUUCUGCUAGUGGAAAAGAUGCAAAUGGUUCUCUGGUUCUGGGGUAUUGCUCUAAUCAUAGAGUUAUCCUGUCAAUGAGGAGAAAGAGCAGAUUCUUCUUUUUCUUUUAAAAUUAAGAACAGUGAGUGCUAGAAAGACAUAAGGUUGCAUGUCUCCUCUGGAGGGAGACAGCUCCCAGCAGUACUGAGAAAAAUAGCCUCAAGAGUUCUGGAAUUCACCGAUUUUCUCUAGACCCUUUUGUAUUGCAGUUGCCCUAACUAUUGUGUUUUUGGAUCUGUAGUAAUCAUAUCUUCUUCUGGGUUCUCUGUUUUUGUUUAAGGUGCUGAGAACGUGUUUAUGCUGAAGUGCUCAGCAUUCUGGCAUCUUAGCCUGGAAUCAAGGCCAUGAGGUUCUACAGUGCUACCAAAAUGGGGUAUUUGUGCACAUGCCUUAUGGAUGCAGAAUGUGAAAUUUCUUACAUAUUUUGAAACACUUCACAUAUUCUUUGGUGAUCCCUUGAAGCUUGAUGAUCUGACAAGGUCUGUUCUGUGUCUGGUUCCAGCUGGCUGUACAAACACAAAUAACCCAGCAGUACUUGGGGACACUUGGCUCAAAGGCACGCCCCCUGACACUGCCAUCUAAGUUCCCAUGCUCAGACUCAGCUAGGCCUUCUUUGGUUUUGGCAUUUCUUUUAUUUCUGCCUCCUAAUACUACUGUAUUUCUGAGUGGAAGGUGAUGGGGAUGCCUCCACAGGAGAUGCCUGCUCUUGCUCUUCCCCCUGAAAAAUCUCAAUCUAUAUGUUUUCUUGUUUGGUU